rnacentral:tRNA from 1 species
GGUAGCGUGGCCGAGCGGUCUAAGGCGCUGGUUUUAGGCACUAGUCAUUUCGAUGGCGUGGGUUCGAAUCCCACCGCUGGCA